UCCAACUUAGCUGGUUCAAAAUCUGGGUCAUAUGGGUUAGGGUUUGAGACUGGUCAGUACCUGGAUGGGAGACCUCCUGGGUAAACUAGGUUGCUGUUGGAA
rnacentral:rRNA from 1 species